AUUCUUGGUGUCUCUUCAGAUCGAAUAAUCUUUGCUUUUUGCUAAGUGUUUUCGUGAAGUGAAUCUUCCAUGAGUUGCAUACAUUUUUUAAAGGCUUUGCCCCUGCAGGGCU